AAAAUGUCAAACAUUUUCGAACAAUUGGACUUUCCUUAAUCUAUCUAGAAUUAAAAAGCACGACAUGCCUUUCUCUCGCAAUUAUCCUUCGAUGCUGUGAGACGUAUAACGGCGUGACCUACGCUGCUGGCGACGUCGAUGUCAGCGGUGUCCGUCGAGACGCCGACAGGAUCUCUACAAAGCGCAUGCGGCGAAACUUUUCGACUGGCACAGAUGCGAUCGCACAGUGGUCCGCUCCCCCAGUUUAUCCGACGACGUUUCUCAAUGCACGACGCGUAUAUUUUCCUACAUUUCAUGGUCCUAAUUAAAUACAAAAAUUACGAAAUAUACUUCUUACACGCGUAGUGUCCUGUGGAUCGCAUUCAAUAACUCGGAGGCUUUCUCAAUGGAGGGUUGAUUCUACGUUAAAGCUUACAUAAAUAAUUACUUUGAUGGGAAGAAAUAAUCAAAAGGCGCUCCGACAGAAAGAAAUGUGUUAAAUGAAAACGAAUGUCCGAACAUUUUAAACGCACUCCUGCGCUCAAUACCGGUGCUCCGUAUUAAUGACGCGACGGUUGGAACACCUCCAACUAUUACGCCGCACGAUCGUUUGCAACGGAAUGCGUCCAUGUUGCAAUCAAAUGUCUCAGAUCAAAUAGCCUUUUCUAAUUAUAAACUUUUUUGCGCAAUUAAUUGGAUAAAGAUGUGCCAGAUUUCAUAUAAAUCAAACGACUAUCUCAAUCUGUCCAUAACAUUAUAGUUUAUUUCUUAUAUUAAUUGUCUACAAAUUUAGGAAAGCUCUAUCAAGUUUCUGUUACUCAUCGCUAAUUUGCACAUAUUGAUUUUCACAGAGCGCAACAUUAGGCAUUUAUUUAAGAAAGAAUAAAGAAUCUGUGUCGAACAAAACUUAUUAUAGUGCUCAUUACGUACAAUUCGUACCUAAACGCAUCUACGCAGGAUACGUGAUUCAUGUAUUCAUCCAUGACUUUGACAACUCUCCGUCAAAUGUGCAAUGUAUGUGACUAUCUAACAAAUUUUAUCAAUGUGAAUUAUGCACUACGAGAAACAUCUGGGAAUUCCCAUUGGACAAUCAUUUUGCCUGGCAUUCUAUUCGAGCAUUCCAUACUCUGUGAUUGACACUGGCCUGGUCUAUAUCAUCGACGUUAUACCAACGAGUCUGGAAAAUGGCCAAUAAUAUUGCAAUGUGCUUUUUAAACUGACGUAUUUCACGACCGACUGUGUUUGCUCGAACAGCUUCUUGAUACAACAGGCAUCAAAGAUAGUAUUUUUUCUGUGAAUAUAAUCUCCAGAGCAAUCAUGUUCGUGCUUCAAAAACUAUCGAGUAAAGCUUGGGGAUGUCAUCAGAUAUCGACGACGAUUGACGGCCUGUCACGAUUUCGAAGAUCGGCAUCGCCGACGGAUUGGUCAAAUCUGACGUUCUACGAUUACCAAAAUUACAGCCACGAACUAAUUUUCGAGGAAUCGGAGAGCUUUUGCCAUUCGCUCUACUUCCUUCUGGAUUUCUGCCACUUGUACUACAUACCGUCCAUCAUCUUACUGGGUUUGGUGGGCAACCUGUUGUCGUGUGUGGUUUUCCUUAAGACACAUCUAAAACUGCGCAGCUCUAGUUACUACUUGGCGGCAUUAGCCACCGCUGAUUUUAGCUUUCUCAUGUCUCUGCUUCUCGUGUGGCUUAACAGUACAAUUGGAUGGAAAGUCUUUAACAACAAUGGCUGGUGUGAAACUUUGGUGUACGUCAGCGCGGUUUGUAGUUCACUUAGCGUUUGGCUAAUCGUUGCCUUUACUGUCGAGAGAUUUAUCGCCGUGCAAUAUCCGUUACAUCGGCCGCACAUGUGCACCGUAGCGCGUGCAAAGACAAUUAUUUUAGUAUUAACGAUUCUUGCUUUGGCUAGCCAUUCAUACUCCUUCAUUACCGCCGGGGUGGUGAAAAACGCGGGCGGCGACGAAGUGUGCGAUCUGAAGAUUGAAUACCUGGGGACCAUGCAAAUUAUUAGUAUCAUCGACAGUAUAGCGAGUUUGAUUGUGCCGCUUGUACUUAUCAUCGUGAUGAAUACCAUGAUUAUGAGAAAUCUUCUGAAGUUUGGCAGGCGGUUCAACCAAGAGCCCGGUUAUACUACAAAUUGUUCUAACAGGGAAAAAUCUGACAUCAAUCUCAAUCAAAUCCCGAGUGCCAAUAGCAGCAAUAACGGCGACGGCGGAAAUAUGAACCUAGUUUCACUCGUUGGCACGAAUGGAACGCGAAGACCACCUUCCCAGCAAUCAUCAUUUCACUCGUCCAAAAACCAUUCCCGGCAUCAACCUGCAUCUGCUCCGCCGUCGACACCGCGGAACGUCUGUCAGAUGACCGAAAUAGAAGCCCCGUGUAUACAUGUUAGGUCAUCUUGUCGGAAUCUGGGAUCGACCAGAUUCAAUCAAGAGAGCAUUACUAAAAUGCUCGUGCUCAUUAGCACGGUCUUUAUAUUACUUAAUUUACCAAGCUACGUAAUUCGCCUAUGCGUGUUCUUCUUCACUCUGGCAAAGAAGAAUACACCAGAGACGCUUUGGUGUCUUCAACAGUUCUUCAUGCUCCUCUAUUAUACAAACUUCAGCAUCAAUUUCCUUCUGUACGCCAUGUGCGGCAUCACGUUCCGUCGAUGUCUUGAGCAGAUACUGCGCAGAAUCCUAAAGAGUAUGACUCGGUAUCACUGCAGUCCACAAAGAACGAGGCGAACGGAUCGACCAUGGGACCGACUCCGGAACGAGUGGAUCGCGAAUUAUUCAAUUAAAUGUGGUGGCAAUCCUGAGUCUGAUCUUAACCGGAUUUAGCGCAGUCUUGGAUCUUAUUUGAGGGACAAGCACGGGACGAAGUGGUUUCGGAAUAAAAAUAGCAUCGCGAUUUUAAUUGCGUGCGCGUUUGCAGCGGCGUUGGCGGCUGCAUCCGCCGUUGUUACACCGGCCAUCGUCUUCCUAUUGGUACAUAUUCCGACAAUUUAGCGUGCGCACCGUAAAAGGUCUUGCGACGCCGCGUUCUUACUUCACGGACCGAGAAGAGAACAACAGCAUCGACACGGAACACCGUUAACCGAAGCCGUGCCCGGGAGAGGAAGGUCGCGAACGAUAUCUACAACAUGCUGAUUCCGCAUGAACGAACAGAAAUAUACGGAUGGUUUUCUUUUUCCCUUGCUCACUCGCCAAUCGUCUAACCGUUUCGUUCAACUCGCGGGGAUAUUUAUGACCCAGGAAACAAAACGGCAAGUGCACAGUAGAGGCUCAUUUGCAAGAGCCACCUAAAUCUAAACUUACGAGCGCGUGAACGCCUUGUAAUGAACUCGGCUUUCGAAUGACUACUGCGCCUCGAUUUUAUCGAUUUCGAUGCACCGCUGAAUCAACUUGCUCUCUUCGUUUUAUUCGUUCAGGAUAUAUAUGUCUCUCAGUAUCAUGUUUUAUUAUUUUAAUAAUACCAUUGAUAAUAAUUCCUAAUCUAUAGAAUAUCAGCUGGACGCUAUAAUAUUUCUAUAAAACUUUUAGUACAAAAUAUUUCAUUGAUGAGUAAAGACUUUAAAAUAAUUAGUAUCAAGAAUUUAGGUCGCAAAAUGGAAAAAUAAAAUUAUAAUCCGAAAUGAGAAAUUGAUGUAUACAGAAAGUUUUUAUGAGUAACUAUGAUCUAUAAAUAAUUUAUGGAGCUAGCUACAAUAAUAAGUGUAUAAUCGAUUAAAAUCACGUGACAAAUUAAAA